UGCAUGUCUAAGUACAUGCCGUAUUAAGGCGAAACCGCGAAUGGCUCAUUAAAUCAGUUAUGAUUCCUUGGAUCGUACCUUACUACUUGGAUAACUGUGGCAAUUCUAGAGCUAAUACAUGCAGCAGAGCUCCGACCGUCCAGGAACGAGCGCUUUUAUUAGACCAAAAUCAAUCGGACCUCGCGUCCGUAACUCGUGGUGACUCUGAAUAACUUUGGGCUGAUCGCACGGGCACGUCCCGGCGACGUAUCUUUCAAGUGUCUGCCUUAUCAACUGUCGAUGGUAGGUUACGUGCCUACCAUGGUCGUAACGGGUAACGGGGAAUCAGGGUUCGAUUCCGGAGAGGGAGCCUGAGAAACGGCUACCACAUCCAAGGAAGGCAGCAGGCGCGCAAAUUACCCACUCCCAGAACGGGGAGGUAGUGACGAAAAAUAACAAUACGGGACUCUUUUGAGACCCCGUAAUUGGAAUGAGUACACUCUAAAUCCUUUAACGAGGAUCCAUUGGAGGGCAAGUCUGGUGCCAGCCGCCGCGGUAAUUCCAGCUCCAAUAGCGUAUAUUAAAGUUGUUGCGGUUAAAAAGCUCGUAGUUGGAUCUCAGUUCCAGCUCGAUGGUCCGCCUCACCGGUGGUUACCAUCGGUGCUGAACAGCUCAGUCGGUUUCUCUUGAUGAUCUUCACCGGUUGUCUAGGGUGACCGACAAGUUUACUUUGAAAAAAUUAGAGUGCUCAAAGCAGGCGUGACGCCUGAAUAAUGGUGCAUGGAAUAAUGGAAUAGGACCUCGGUUCUAUUUUGUUGGUUUUCGGAACUCGAGGUAAUGAUUAAGAGGGACAGACGGGGGCAUUCGUACUGCAUGGUUAGAGGUGAAA
rnacentral:rRNA from 1 species